rnacentral:rRNA from 1 species
AUUGAACGCUGGCGGCAUGCUUUACACAUGCAAGUCGAACGGUAACAGGCCUUCGGGUGCUGACGAGUGGCGAACGGGUGAGUAAUGCAUCGGAACGUGCCCAAUCGUGGGGGAUAACGUAGCGAAAGUUACGCUAAUACCGCAUAAGCCCUGAGGGGGAAAGUGGGGGACCGCAAGGCCUCACGCGAAUGGAGCGGCCGAUGUCAGAUUAGCUAGUUGGUGGGGUAAAGGCCCACCAAGGCGACGAUCUGUAGCGGGUCGUGAGAGGAUGAUCCGCCACACUGGGACUGAGACACGGCCCAGACUCCUACGGGAGGCAGCAGUGGGGAAUUUUGGACAAUGGGCGCAAGCCUGAUCCAGCCAUGCCGCGUGCGGGACGAAGGCC